rnacentral:rRNA from 1 species
AUACGGGGGGAGCAAGCGUUGUCCGGAAUCAUUGGGCGUAAAGGGCACGUAGGCGGUUUCUUAAGUCGAAUGUGAAAUCUCACGGCUCAACCGUGAAACCGCGUUCGAAACUAAGUGACUUGAGUUUGUGAGAGGUGUACGGAAUUCCUGGUGUAGCGGUGGAAUGCGUAGAUAUCAGGAAGAACACCAAUGGCGAAGGCAGUACACUGGCCUGAAACUGACGCUGAGGUGCGAAAGCGUGGGGAGCAAACAGGAUUAGAAACCCCGGUAGUCC